UACGGAGGGGGCUAGCGUUGUUCGGAAUUACUGGGCGUAAAGCGCACGUAGGCGGCUUUGUAAGUUAGAGGUGAAAGCCCGGGGCUCAACCCCGGAACUGCCUUUAAGACUGCAUCGCUAGAACGUCGGAGAGGUGAGUGGAAUUCCGAGUGUAGAGGUGAAAUUCGUAGAUAUUCGGAAGAACACCAGUGGCGAAGGCGGCUCACUGGACGACUGUUGACGCUGAGGUGCGAAAGCGUGGGGAGCAAACAGG
rnacentral:rRNA from 1 species